rnacentral:lncRNA from 8 species
AGGCUGUUCUGGAGGCAAAGGGGGGUCCGACCCGGUAGUAGAUGGGUGUAUCUAAUAAACUGUCCGGUGAGUGUAGAGCACUUCUACCCUUAGCUGUGAGGGCAAACAAGGAUAGAAGAACCAACACACAAAUAGAUUUUUUAUUGUGGAACAACUAGAAAAAAAUGCUGACAAAAAGAGAAGAAGAGAAGAGGAAGUCCAUCAGUGUCUGUCCAAGUGUUUCUACUGUUCUAGUGACAGUGAGAAAGAACUCCCACUGGACUCCUGUUUCAACAUGGUAAGAGUCUCUGUUACUGGACUCCUGUUUCAACAUGGUAAGAGUCUCUGUUACUGGACUCCUGUUUCAACAUGGGUGGUGAAUCUCAACACUCCAACCUGGUAUUCAUCCUGCUCAUGACUACAGGGCUCCAUGUUGAUUUGACCCCUGACCUAGUUGUGGACAGCGAGAGGGCCGUCCUGACCUGUGGCUCCUACUUCAUCAGAGAGAAUCCCACCUACACCUGGUACAGGGACACAACCUUUGACCUAUACCAACAAGGUCAAGGUUAUGGCCAAUUACCUGGAACUAGACCCGGUAGGCAGGGAGGAUGCAGGCAGCUACUCCUGUGCGGUGAGCGGCAGAGAGGAUUCCCCUGGUCCGGCAGUGAUCCUUGUAGUGGGAUGUGAGUAGAGUGCUUAGAGAGGAUAUUAGAAAUGUAUGCAUUUCUUCCGUUUAUGUCCCUAGCAAAUCAUCUAUUGGCUCUGAGAGUCAGCAACCCAAAUAUGGUUUUGUUUACUGACCUACAUCUUAGCAUUAGCUUGAAAAACAACAAAGGGGUAUACUACAGCUAACUUUGAUAAACAACCAGAAAUAACCAUUAAUUUUCUGAUUCAUUAAGAAAGCUAAACUUCAAUAUGUGUUUUUGGUUGUUCAGU